rnacentral:misc_RNA from 1 species
AAGUCGUAACAAGGUUUCCGUAGGUGGCAAGUUUGCCUGCCGGAAGCCCCCGCAGCGACUCUAAACAAGUGUCCGAGUCUUCCCCUAUCAGGGGCGGGCGACGCUAUCAGUCUGCGCUGGAAGCCCCGUUUCCGGGGGUCAACCAGCAGCUUCAGGAGCCCCUGGAGUUCACAGAUCAAACGAUAGCGGCCACGUUGGUGGUUGAGAUAUGACCGGUCUCAGCCGUCACCGGUUGUAGAGUUUGCGGAACCUGCGGAAGGAUCAUUACUGAGAGAGGGGCUUCGCGCUCCCGGGGGUUUCGGCCCCCAACUCUUCACCCAUUGUUUAUCUACCUUUGUUGCUUUGGCGAGCCUUAGGGGUCACCCUGCGCUGGCCUUCGGGCUAGUGAGCGCCCGUCAGAGGCCCAUUCAAUUCUGCCUAUCCAGUAUUAUCAGAACAAAAAACAUAAUAGUCAAAA